rnacentral:rRNA from 1 species
AGUGAACGCUGGCGGUAGGCCUAACACAUGCAAGUCGAACGGCAGCACAGAGGAGCUUGCUCCUUGGGUGGCGAGUGGCGGACGGGUGAGGAAUACAUCGGAAUCUACUCUGUCGUGGGGGAUAACGUAGGGAAACUUACGCUAAUACCGCAUACGACCUACGGGUGAAAGCAGGGGAUCUUCGGACCUUGCGCGAUUGAAUGAGCCGAUGCCGGAUUAGCUAGUUGGCGGGGUAAAGGCCCACCAAGGCGACGAUCCGUAGCUGGUCUGAGAGGAUGAUCAGCCACACUGGAACUGGGACACGGUCCAGACUCCUACGGGAGUCAGCAGUGGGGAAUAUUGGACAAUGGGCGCAAGCCUGAUCCAGCCAUACCGCGUGGGUGAAGAAGGCCUUCGGGUUGUAAAGCCCUUUUGUUGGGAAAGAAAUCCAUCUGGUUAAUACCCGGGUGGGAUGACGGUACCCAAAGAAUAAGCACCGGCUAACUUCGUGCCAGCAGCCGCGGUAA